ACAAAUCCAAGGAAACUGCUGGACAUCGCUGCUGAGGACGACUGAGGAGGUCAAACCUAAACCCUAAAGGAGAAAAAGAAGGUAGAGAGAUGACGCUUGGUGGGGCUAAUUGAUUUAGACCAGUUAGAGGCAGAGGACAGGACUAAUGUAGGGAUUUGAGUUGUGAAGCACCGACUGUUAGAAACAGCUUUCCGAUGUGACUUGGUCUAGUUCUAGAUGUUCCUCUGGUUAGUUAGUUUUCAGGCCUAGUUUGAGGGAAAAGAACCCUCUGCAGAAAUAUUCUCCAUAUCAUCUAGGCCUGUCCUGACCGCAGUGGAUCUCUUCUGUGUUUUUUGAAUCCCAUGUUGGACCGAGCCGCUACAAGCUUUGGGCCAAUCAGAAGAUGCUGAUGAGAUCUGCAGCGACCAAACCAGAGGAGGAUCAUCUGAGCUGCUGACCUUCACAAAGAGUGAGAGCAUGUUCAACACUGUGGACGUCCAAAAGCAGAACUCCUGUGAGGAACCGGGACAUCCAGGAUGAUGAGGAGCUUCCCAGUCUCUACCUGAGGACGGCACAGAGAAAGACUGGAACAGAAAACACACGGAGGAAAGCAGGUUGAACAUGGAAGCAGUGUUCUAGCAGUCGGAUCACAUUGGAAAAGAAUCCAUCCACAUGUGUUUGGAGGAGCUGAAGAAGAGGAUGGAGCACACAGACCGCUAAGGAGAAGAAACAUGGCUCCUCUAUUUGUCUCUCCAACGUUCUGGAGUCUGAAAAACGUUGACGACCCCGCAGCUAAACCAUCAGUCUGCUCCACCCAGUAGAAGAAGAUGAGGUCAUCUGCUCCUUGGACCGGCGCCUCUGU